AGAGUUUGAUCCUGGCUCAGGACGAACGUUGGCGGUGCGCUUAAUGCAUGCAAGUCGAGGGAGAACCAUUCGAUCCGUAAGGACUGGAUGGGGAAACCGGCGAACGGGUGCGUAACACGUGAGGAACCUGCCCCGAAGACCGGGAUAGCCCGAGGAAACUCGGAUUAAUACCGGAUACCCUCUUUGGACCACAUGGUCCGCUGAGGAAAUGGUCCGCCGCUUCGGGAUGGCCUCGUGGCCUAUCAGCUUGUUGGUGAGGUAACGGCUCACCAAGGCAAAGACGGGUAGCUGGUCUGAGAGGACGAUCAGCCACACUGGGACUGAGACACGGCCCAGACUCCUACGGGAGGCAGCAGCAGGGAAUAUUGCACAAUGGGCGAAAGCCUGAUGCAGCGACACCGCGUGCGGGAUGAAGGCCCUCGGGUUGUAAACCGCUUUCAGGAGGGACGAAAAUGACGGUACCUCCAGAAGAAGGCCCGGCCAACUACGUGCCAGCAGCCGCGGUAAUACGUAGGGGCCAAACGUUGUCCGGAUUUAUUGGGCGUAAAGGGCUCGUAGGCGGUUCAACAAGUCGAUCGUGAAAGCCCGGGGCUCAACCCCGGGACGCCGGUCGAAACUGUUGUGACUAGGGUCCGGUAGAGGUGAGUGGAAUUCUCGGUGUAGCGGUGGAAUGCGCAGAUAUCGAGAGGAACACCAGUU
rnacentral:rRNA from 1 species